UACAGAGGGUGCAAGCGUUAAUCGGAAUUACUGGGCGUAAAGCGUGCGCAGGCGGUUUGGUAAGACAGAUGUGAAAUCCCCGGGCUCAACCUGGGAAUUGCAUUUGUGACUGCCCGGCUAGAGUGUGUCAGAGGGGGGUAGAAUUCCACGUGUAGCAGUGAAAUGCGUAGAGAUGUGGAGGAAUACCGAUGGCGAAGGCAGCCCCCUGGGAUAACACUGACGCUCAUGCACGAAAGCGUGGGGAGCAAACAGG
rnacentral:rRNA from 1 species